rnacentral:lncRNA from 1 species
UUUUAUUUUAUUUUUAACCAUUUUCUUUCAUCAUCAUUUUAUUUUUUUCACCACUUAUAUUUAUUUUAAUCAAAAUAUUUUGGAAACACACUUGACUUAUUUUUUGCCCAUUUAUUUUAUUUCACACUUUGUUUAUUUUAUUUUGACCUAUUUUGUUGACUUUUCAUGCCUUUAUUGAUGUCGGCUGAUGAAGUCUAUUUUGUCAUGACUUUGAUUUUCUAGAGCUGAUAAAACCUUCA